UGGAAACAGCCUCUCUGCAAAGCAAAGCAUAGGAAGGCUACAUACAUCAACCCUCCCCAGGGCUCGCAAGUGUGGAAUGCUUUGUGCGCUGGGUCACCAUUUACAUAGUCUGAACCAGAAUUAUGUAAUGGUUAUGUGAUUUCCAAAUGCUUUGUCUUCAACAGAAUAAAUUGUGGGACUUUUGACCCUCAGUCCUAGUUUCUGUUAUUAAUUCACCAUUGUUGUAUCAUGUUCUUGUUUCUGUUGGACAGGUACCUGCUGGAGUUUGAUGAUGACGAG
rnacentral:misc_RNA from 1 species